rnacentral:tRNA from 1 species
UAGAAAGUGGUGUAGUGGAAGCACUAGGAGUUUUGAUCUCUCCAGGUAGGGUUCGAAACCCUUCUUUCUAA